rnacentral:tRNA from 1 species
CGUGGCCCAAUGGACAAGGCGCCUCCCUCCGGAGGAGGAGACUCGGGGUUCGAGUCCCCGC